UCGUUCUCACUUCUCAGUCUCUCGAUUCUCGUCUCUCGAUUAUUUUUUGCAUCAUGUCUGAAAUUCGAAGAUUUCUGAGAUCUCAAAUCCCAAAUCAAACCAAACUAUUUAUUUUUUGCCUUAGGGUUUCAAGGUUUGCAUAUAAAAGUUGUUUUAGGGUUCAGUCUCUUCUCUAGUCUCCAAAAAAUCUCAAGAGCAGCAACACAAGAGAAGAAGAAAUGACCUAAAUUUCUCAUUUCCUUGGUUUUUGAUUUGAGAGAUCGUGAAGAGGAACAAUACUUUCCUCGUCAAAGAGUUUGGAAAUGGAAAUCAGAUGGUUCAGUUCAGUAAAGAACCUAACAAUCUCUACAACGUUAACUCCUUCAAACACUCUGUGAAUUGGGGUCUUGUAGGUUAGCAAAUGCAAAGACUGUUUCAGUCAAGCUGGAAAAGAUUGAAGGUGUUGUUCUUGCUACUACUAAUCCUAACAAACAAAAGAACCCUUCAAGUUUGGUGGACAAAACUGUCAUGAAGAAGAAAAUCAGUAGAACGGCUAAGGAUGUUGCUAAACUACCUCAUCUCUCCAAUUUGGCGUACAAACAAGUCGCUCUGCCUGACGUUGAAGUCGGUUCAUACGUCUUGGUCAUAGUUGGCCGCAGAGAUUGAGAGGCGUGCCGAGAUCAUAAUUAGAUACUACUACUGCUUGGGGAUGGAGAGUCACGGAAGUCUACAACCUUUAAGCAGGUAGAAAACCAAAAGUUUUCGUAUAAUUGAAAAUCAAACAACAUAUUUUGCAUUUCCGGAACGCCAAGAUUCCAUGUAUAGGAUGGUGGAGGGAAAGGUUGUUCCCAUCUUGGUAAUUGAAGGAUGGAACUUAAUUAAUAGUUUCCAUUUACAAGAGAUUGCUGAGCUCCGGGGAAUCCCUUCUUACUGGAUGGACAGCGAGUAGAGAAUAGGACCAGGAAAUACAAUUAGCUUUAAGUUGCUUCCUGAUGAGCCCACUGUUGAAGACGAAUAGGAUGAUGACGAGGACAACGAUGAUGAGCAUGAUGAUGUUGAAGGGAAGUUGCUUGUAUGCUUGCAGAUGACUGCAGUAGACGUGUGAUGAUUGAGAUAGGUGGUGACGGUGAUAUACCUUAUCCUACCUGUAUCUUCAGUGGUCUUUUCCUUUCUUACUUUGGAAUUUUUUAUUUGAUGUUGCAGGAGUUUUGAACUGUCUUUCCAAGUUCUAUCCCUGGGAUUCAAAGAGGGUACUAAUUGCAGUGAGGUUGAUAUCAUCAAGGCUUGAAUAUUGACUACUUUAUUUUUGCUUUCGAGAGUUGGGUAUGCUAAGGCUUCUUAUCUCACAUGCAAUGGGAUUCGAGACUAUACCUAGAUUUACCUUGCUGCUGGGUCUGGAGGCAGGCUUAGACUUUGAUUGUCAGUUGCAUCCGAUGCUGCCUGUAAUAAUCUAAAUGUGGCGUUGUGAAAGGCUCUGUAACGGGUGGCAUGAAGUGGUUGUCGGGAAGUUGCUGACUUUGCAACUUAUGCAUUUGGGCCAACUAUUGUGGUCACUCCUUUUGGUGCACUCAGCAUUAUUAUCAGGCACGAAACAAAUUCAUUCACCAAGUUGUGUACUCUUUCCUCUUAAGUUUUUGUGCUAACAGCCCGUUCGUUUCAAGGAAUUGUAUUCCUUGGAAUCCAAUUCCUAGGGGAUGCAUCCAAUUCCUUGAACCGAACGGGGCAAAUGAACUCUUUGUAAUUGGGAAUUUUAACUCCUAGGAAUGCAAUUCCCUCCAAAAUGAUAGAUUUCCAUUGCAUUGGUCCAAUGAUGCAAUGGAAUUGGAUUCCGGGGUAAAAACAAAGGUAAUUGAAUUACCUCAACCGAACAUAAAUUUUUUGGAUUGGAAUCCAAUUCCAAUAAUUGGAUUACCCCAUAAUUGAAUUCCUAGGAUUCUGAUUCUCCCAACCGAACGGGCUGUAAGUGUCAUAUUCUCUUGCAUUGCUGCACUUGCAAAACAUAGAAAUAUCUUAUGGAAAAGAAGUCCUUUUCAUUUCUAGUUUUAUUUUUUG